AUUGAACGCUGGCGGCAGGCCUAAUACAUGCAAGUCGAACGGUAACAUAAAAGAAGCUUGCUUCUUUUGAUGACGAGUGGCGGACGGGUGAGUAAUAUUUGGGAAACUACCUGAUAGAGGGGGACAACAGUUGGAAACGACUGCUAAUACCGCAUAUAGCCUGAGGGUGAAAGCAGCAAUGCGCUAUCAGAUGUGCCCAAACGGGAUUAGCUAGUAGGUGAGGUAAAGGCUCACCCAGGCGACGAUCUCUAGCUGGUCUGAGAGGAUGAUCAGCCACAUUGGGACUGAGACACGGCCCAGACUCCUACGGGAGGCAGCAGUAGGGAAUAUUGCACAAUGGAGGAAACUCUGAUGCAGCCAUGCCGCGUGUGUGAAGAAGGCC
rnacentral:rRNA from 1 species